AGUCCGGGGCGUUGGGGAGGGCGCGGCUGGACCUGCGGGGCUACAAGAAGGCAGCCGGACCCCCGCACCGCAGGCCCGGACCUGACAGGACCGCGACCCCCACGCCUCCGCCCCCGCCCCCUCCCAUCUUGCGGCUGCCUCCGAGGAGGGAUGGGGGAGAGGGCGCAGUCUUCCCGAGCGUGUGAGCCGCGCCUACUGGUACUGACCCCUCGGGCCCCCGCCGCUGCUCGCCCAGGUUCCUGGUCAGCCGGCCCCGACCCCGCUCUUCUGUCUCUGCCGCCGCCUCGGAGAGUCUCUGGCCCUUCUCGCUCUGUUUGUUUUUGUUUUCUUCUACCCAGUAACACGGGGGCGAGAGGGCGGCGCUUAUUGGCCGAGGCCGGGUGGUCGGCUGGCCAAUCGUGGCGGCGGAGCCGGAGCUGAGGAGGAAAAGGGAGAGGAGUGAAACGGUUUCAUCAUGUUGUCCAGGCUGGUCUUGAACUCCUGGGCUCAAGCAAUCAGCCCACCUCUGCCUCCCAAAGCGUUGAGAUUACAAGCGUGAGCCACCAUUCCUGGACCCUCGUAGUUUUUCUGGAGCCUCGUGAUUUGAUAUGAUCUUCCUGCCGCUGAUUCCUCACAGUGUUGGCUUGCCACACCUCCAGGGGCACUGAUCACAUUCUACCUGGCAUUAUUUCAUCUGAGUCCCUGUCCUAGCCCUUCUGCCCAUUAGACUGUAACCUUGUUUAGGGAAAGACCUGUGUCUUACUCAUCUGUGAUUUUGUUGUUGUUGUUGUUUUGAGACAGGGUCUUGCCCUGUUGCCCAGGCUGGAGAGCAGUGGUGCAAUCUUGGCUCACUGCAGCCUCAACCUGUUGGGGUCAAGCCAUCCUCCCACCUCAGCUUUCCAAGUAGCUGAGACUACAGGCCUGUGCCACCACACCCAGCUAGUUUUUUGUAUUUUUAGUAGAGAUGGGGUUUUGCCAUGUUGCCCAGGCUUCUCUUGAACUCCUGAGCUCAAGGGAUCUGCCUGCCUCGGCCUCCCAAAGUGCUGGGAUUACAGGCGUGAGCCACUGUGCCUGACCCACUCACCUGUCAUUGUAGUACUUAAGAUGCCUUGUUCAUUUAUUGUGCCUGUGCAAUAAAUACACCUUGAUUUGAGUUUACAAAGAUUCUCAGCAGUUGGUGGUCAUCCUCAUCUCCUGGGCGGGGGCCUCCUGGUGUGGCCAGUAUCUGAAUUAGUCUCAUAACUCAUGUUCACUUUUUAAAAUCGGAGCUUCCCAGACCUCAGUUUUGUUUUGUUAUUUUCCAUUAUCUGCAGCUGUCUCCUUUCCCCUCUCUCACCUAUACUCUACUGAUCAGUGACUGCUGGCUCCUUUGUUACCCAUCCUUCUCUUUCUCCACAUUUUUUCUCUUCUCAUCCCUUUCAGUUCUGGACUGUUUCCUUCUUCCUCCCUGUCUUUCAUUUAGUCAUUCAUUGAAUGUACUUACUAAGCACAUAUAGCAUAAUCAGGCUGUGUUGGGUAGGCAUCCCGAGUUCUAUGAGAUAAAGAAAGAAUGGGAUAUGAUUACCAAUUUUAAGAAGCAUCUAAAACAACCUGUUAUGUUUUAGCAAAUUGCCCCCAAAGGACCCAUUAGGGAGGAAAACGUUCAUGUCCUUUUUGCGUAUCAUCUCAAGCAGUACCCAUGAUGGCUGGGAUCCCAGAACCCACCUUUGAGAAUGCUGCCGUAUUUGCGUGUGGUUGACAAGGUUGGGCCAGACACUCAGGAAAUAGGGUUGUCGUCCUACCUCCCCCACUAACUUCCUGUAAGAACUUCAGCCCCUCUCAGGACCUUUUUCUUUACCAAUAAAAUUCAGAAAUUGGGCUCAAUCAGUAAUUCCCAAGUUAUUUUCCAAAGAACAUGAAUUUUGUGGAACUUUAAUAGAUAUCAUGCAAAAAAAAAUGUGGGAGGGAUUGUUCCAUGGUCAAAUGGUCUUGGAAAUAACUCGUUUAAACAAAAAUAAAACUGUUUCUUUACCCACAACUCUUCUCAGUGGUUUUUUGUUUGUUUGUUUGUUUUUUGAGAUGAAGUUUUGCUCUUGUCGCCCAGUUUGGAGUGUAAUGGCACUAUUUUGACUCACUGCAACCUGUGCCUCCUGGAUUCAAGUGAUUCUCCUGCCUCAGCCUCC
rnacentral:lncRNA from 1 species